UUCAAAUUACUACUUCGUAAGUAGUAGUUUUGAAGUAGUAAUUUUAACUAGUUUUUAGACAAAAGUAGUACAUAGUUUUCACGUAAAACUACUAAUAUUUCUCCAUGAAGGUGUUAAAAAGUAGUUUUUACUCCGUUAAAAAACUACUACUCAGAAAGUACUAUUUUUUUCCAUAAGGGAGUCUGAGGGGGCAUCUGUCGAAUGUCUCCAAUCUUGGAACCUACAACAAAUAUUUACACGAAGUUUUCCUCCUUUUCAACAUUUCAAAUUAUUUUAUAAAAACAAUUCAUAUCAUAUGUGUAUGUGUGAAUGAGCAGGUAUCCGCAAUAUAUGUACAAUUGGUACUAUGGUACUCCAGGUAAUUUUAUUUACCAUGUUAACAGGUAUACCAUUGCUUAGAUUGCUAGAUCAGCAUUUCUGAUGUUAUGUUUAGGCUACCUACAUAAUAAGCGACUCCUCUUAUUAAAUUAAUUUUUAAUGAAAAUAUAACACGUCAUUUUAUAAAUGAGCAUUUUCACUACCCUGAUGUAGAUUAAGUACAACGUUUUUUUUUGUAUGGAAAUUUUAAUUUGGUAAAGUGUAAGAUGGUAAGUAAGUUAUCAGUGUGAUAUUGAACAUCAGUAGAGUUACUAAUCCAGUACUUUCUUUAAAUGUAUUUACCCAAACAUAUGUACGUAAUUUUGUAAAUAUUAUUGACUAACAAUUCAAAUAGGUACUUAAGGUAUAUGUAGGUAUUAAACUAAUGAAGUUGUAACAUUUUUCAAAUAGGUAAGUAUUGUUUUCUCAAUGUAUACUCGUGCAUCUCUCGAAUAUAUUGUUAUGAUUUGUAUCAAGUUACUUUCAUUCUAAAAAAUUAUUGAAAAAACAAAUCAACAUUAAACUUUAAAUUGAAAUAACUGCUAUAGCAACUAUCAGCUUAAAACAUGGAAAUGAGUAACAAAAAGAUAAUGUAAUGCGAUUAGGUGAAUAUUUGAUAUAACCGUCUAUAAACCGUAUAAACAUGAUUUUGUUUCUAUCGUAACAAAUUCAAGAAUAUCGCGUGUUUGUAUAAAACGUUUAAAAUAAAUCACUAAUUUUUUGUGAAAUAAAACACUUGCUGUUUUACACGCUCAGCAUUAUCAUUUGGUAAAUACCUAACCAGAAAAAAAAAAGUAUUGAGAUGAACCCAGACCUACCAACCUAUAAAAAUGGGCAAAAUUAUGAUUUUUGCAUAAUUAUCUAGAUCGAUGUAGGUAGGUAUACCAUCUUCUUCUAAAAAAACUCUAAAUUUUGUUUAUAAAAAUUCAGCAAAUAAAAAAUAUACUUAUCUAGCGAAUUAUAUUACACCUUAACCAGAAAAAAAAAGUAUUGAGAUGAACCCAGACCUACCAACCUAUAAAAAUGGGCAAAAUUAUGAUUUUUGCAUAAUUAUCUAGAUCGAUGUAGGUAUACCAUCUUCUUCUAAAAAAACUCUAAAUUUUGUUUAUAAAAAUUCAGCAAAUAAAAAAUAUACUUAUCUAGCAAAUUAUAUUACACCUUGGGUAUUGAUCAUUUAGAUUAUUCAAAAUGUCCAAUUUCCAUGGAAAACUUUCCUUACUUUGUGCCUAUUUGGAGCAUUGCAGAUCAUCAACUCCGAACCCAUUAAACCUUUGCCGCAUUUAGACGAACAUUGGGAAAGUUUUAAGACACGGUUUAACAAAACUUACCAUCCAGUUUUGGAGAAUAAGAGAAGACAAACAUGGGAACAAAAUUAUCACAUGAUAAACAAGCAUAACGAAGAACAUAAACAAGGCUUACAUACGUACAAAUUGGAAUUAAAUCAUUUGGCAGAUUUAGUAAGCAUAAUAAAAUUCUUAACAGCUCCUGUGUGCAUAUUACGUUAGGCAACUCUUCGUACAUAACCAAAAAUACAAUUACAUACCUAUGAAUUUAAUCAAAAUUUUAGAGUGAAUUUUUCAUGCUUGCAUUCCAGAACCAAAGACAAUAAUUAUUUGAGAGAAA